rnacentral:tRNA from 1 species
AGGAGUGUAGCUUAGUGGUAGAGCACUUGCCUAGAAUGUAUGAGGCCCCAGGUUUGAUCCCCAGCACCACCA